rnacentral:rRNA from 1 species
CGGCGGACGGCUGAGUAACACGUAGGAACGUACCCCAAAGUGAGGGAUAAUCCGCCGAAAGGCGGACUAAUACCGCAUAUGCUCUAAGGAGUAAAGCUUCGGCGCUUUGGGAACGGCCUGCGUCCGAUUAGCUAGUUGGUGAGAUAAAAGCUCACCAAGGCGACGAUCGGUAGCUGGUCUGAGAGGAUGAUCAGCCAGACUGGGACUGAGACACGGCCCAG